GAUCAUGGCUCAGGAUGAACGCUAGCGACAGGCCUAACACAUGCAAGUCGAGGGGCAGCAUUUUUGAAGCUUGCUUCAAAAGAUGGCGACCGGCGCACGGGUGAGUAACGCGUAUCCAACCUGCCUUACACUCUUGGACAGCCUUCUGAAAGGGAGAUUAAUACAAGAUGUUAUCAUGAGUAAGCAUUUUCGCAUGAUUAAAGGUAUUCCGGUAGACGAUGGGGAUGCGUU
rnacentral:rRNA from 1 species